rnacentral:rRNA from 1 species
GCCAAACAGCUAGCUUAACCACCAAAACUAACCAAACAACAUAAAUAACAUAAAAACAAUACAAAUAACCAAUUAAACCAUUUUUCCACCUUAGUACGGGAGACGGAAAGGGCUACCAUAAAGCAAUAGAAAAAGUACCGCAAGGGAAAGCUGAAAAAGUAAUGAAAUAAUUCAUAUAAGCAUAAAAAAGCAAAGCUUAAGCCUUGUACCUUUUGCAUCAUGAUUUAGCCAGUAAUACUUAAGCAAAGAGACCUUUAGUUUAAACCCCCGAAACCAAGUGAGCUACCCCGGGACAGCCUUCAAGGGCCAACCCGUCUCUGUGGCAAAAGAGUGGGAAGAGCCCCGGGUAGAGGUGACAGACCUACCGAACUUGGUGAUAGCUGGUUGCCUAAAAAAUGAAUAGAAGUUCAGCCUCGUGCCCCUCCGCCCAAACAAGAAACAUCUUUAUCAAGCACAACGAGAAAAACACGAGAGUUAGUUAAAAGGGGUACAGCCCUUUUAACCAAGGACACAACCUUAUACAGAAGGAUAAGGAUCACACUAUCCAAAAUUAGUCGUUACAGUGGGCCUAAAAGCAGCCAUCUGCCUAGAAAGCGUUAAAGCUCAGACGACAAAACCUUUAUUAUACUGAUAAAUAAUCCUACUCCUCUAAAAGUAUUAGGCUAUUCCAUGCCAACAUGGAAGAAACUAUGCUAAAAUGAGUAACAAGAGAAUAAUCUCUCCAAGCACAAGUGUACCCCAGAUCGGACCAUCCACUGGAAAUUAACGAGCCCAAAAGAAGAGUGUAAUGUGGAAUACGAAAAAAUCAAGAAAGCCCCACAACUUAAUAGUCGUUAACCUCACACUAGAGUGCCCCAAGGAAAGACAAAAAGAUAGGGAAGGAACUCGGCAAACACAAGCCUCGCCUGUUUACCAAAAACAUCGCCUCUUGCAAACCCCUAUGUAUAGGAGGUCCAGCCUGCCCAGUGACCACAAGUUUAACGGCCGCGGUAUUUUGACCGUGCAAAGGUAGCGCAAUCACUUGUCUUUUAAAUGAAGACCUGUAUGAAUGGCCAAACGAGGGCUUAGCUGUCUCCCCUGUCAUGUCAGUGAAAUUGAUCUAUCCGUGCAGAAGCGGGUAUAAUAAUACAAGACGAGAAGACCCUUUGGAGCUUAAGGUACAAAUAUCACCUACGUCAAACAACUUCCUCAACAAGUCUAAACCUAGUAGAAUAUGAAAUCUUACCUUCGGUUGGGGCGAUCAUGGAGAAAAAGAAAUCCUCCAAGUGGAAUGGAAAUAAACCUAAAACCAAGAAAGACACUUCCAAGUCACAGAAAAUCUGACCAAUUAUGAUCCGGCCCAGGCCGAUCAACGAACCAAGUUACCCCAGGGAUAACAGCGCAAUCCCCUCCAAGAGUCCAUAUCGACGAGAGGGUUUACGACCUCGAUGUUGGAUCAGGACAUCCUAAUGGUGCAGCCGCUAUUAAGGGUUCGUUUGUUCAACGAUUAAAGUCCUACGUGAUCUGAGUUCAGACCGGAGCAAUCCAGGUCAGUUUCUAUCUGUAACGCUAUUUUUCCCAGUACGAAAGGACCGGAAAAAAGAGGCCCAUGCUACAAGCACGCCUCACCCCCAAUUAAUGAAAGCAACUAAAUUAAACAAGGGGAGGGCCCAAAACAUGCCAAAAUAAGGCCAC